GGGGUCAUUAUCUUACAUGUUUUUUUUCCUCAGCAGUUCUGUUUUCGGUUUACAACUUUAUACAAAUUUACUUGUCUGCCAACACAAUGCCCCGAGGGUCGAGUGCGGGAUUUGACCGAUAUAUUACCAUCUUCUUUCCGGAGAGCAGACUAACAAAGUCGAAUAUGCAUUCAAGGCUAUCAACCAAGGUGGCCUUACCAUAGUAGCUAUCAGAGGACAAGACUGCAGUUGUCAUCACACAGAAUUCCAGACAAGCUUGUUGAUGCCAUCCACAGUCCACUUAUUCAGAAUCACAGAAAACAUUGGCUGUGUCAUUUUGGAAUGACGGCUGACAGCAAGUCCAGAGGGCUCGUUACGAGGCAGCCAACUGCAAGUACGGUUAUGAGAUCCCAGUGGAUAUGCUGUGUAAGAGGAUGGCUUACAUCUCUCAGGUGUACACACAGAAUGCUGAGAUGAGACCUCUUGGUUUCUGUAAGUGUUACACAAUUGUCAAAAAAACACCAGUGGAGCUGAGAAGUUUCAAGAUAUACAGUACAUGUCAGAAGUUUGGACACACCCACUCAUUCCAGGGUUUUUCUUUAUUUUUACUAUUUUCUACAUUGUAGAAUAAUAGCGAAGACAUCAAAACUAUAUGGAAUCAUGUAGUAAUUGUUAAACAAAUCAAAAUAUAUUUUGGAUUCUUCAAAGUAGUCACCUUUUGCCUUGAUGACAGCUCUGCACACUCUUGGCAUUCUCUCAACCAGCUUCACCUGGAAUGCUUUAACAACAGUCUUAAAGGAGUCCUCACAUAUCCUGAGCACUUGUUGGCUGCUUUUCCUUAAUUCUGGGGACCGACUCAUCCCAAACCAUCUCAAUUGGGUUGAGGUCAGAUGAUUGUGGAGGACAGUUCAUCUGAUGCAGCACGCCAUCACGCUCCUUGGUCAUAUAACCCUUACACAACCUGAAGGUGUGUUGGGUCAUUGUACUGUUGAGAAAUAAAUUAUUGUUCUACUAAGUGCAAACCAGAUGGGAUGGCGUUUUGCUGCAGAGUUCUGUGCUAUACAUGCUGGUUGUGUGCCUUGAAUUCUAAAUAAAUCACUGACAGUGUCACCAACAAAGCACCAUCACACCUCCUCCUCCAUGCUUCAUGGUGGGAACUACAUAUGCGGAGAUCAUCCAUAUACCUAAUCUAAAUCUCACAAAGGCACAGCAGAUGAAACCAAAAAUCUCACAUUUGGACAGAUUUCCACCGGUCUAAUGUCCGUUGCUCGUGUUUCUUGGCAAGUCUCUUUUUAUUGGUGUCGGUGAACUCGGUGAAGCAUUUAUUUGGGCUGCAAUUUCUGAGGCUGGUAACUAAUGAACUUUUCCUCUGCAGCAGAGGUAACUCUGGGUCUUCCUUUCCUGUGGUGGUCCUCAUGAGAGACAGUUUCAUCAUAGCGCUUGAUGGUUUUUGCGACUGCGCUUGAAGGACCUUUCAAAGUUCUUGAAAUGUUCCUUAUUGACUGACCUUCAUGUCUUAAAGUAAUGAUGGACUGUCGUUCAGGCAAAGGGUGGCUACUUUGAAAAAAGUAAAAUAUAAAAUAUAUUUUGAUUUAUUUAAACACUUAUUUUUGUUUACUACAUGAUUCCAUUUGUGUUAUUUCAUAGUUUUGAUUUAUUCACUAUUUUUUCAAUAAUGUAGAAAAUAGUAGAAAUAAAGUAAAACCCUUCAAUGAGUAGGUGUGUCCAAACUUUUGACUGGUACUGUAUAUAUUUAAGAAAAGUUGUGUGUUACGGGGAAGACAUCCUCCUCCCUUCCUGCAGGCUCAUUACCCUCCAGCAUGACAAUGCUACCAGCCAUACUGCUCAUUCUGUGCUUGAUUUCCUGCAAGACGGUCUGUGUUCUACCAUGGCCAGCGCAGAGGCCGGAUCUCAAUCCCAUUGAGCACGUCUUGGACCUGUUGGAUCGGAGGGAUCCUGACAGAGACUGAAAUUGAUGUCCACCUUGUGUCCCAGUCAGAGCGAGAUGGAGUGUUUCCUUGUGUUCCAAACUAGAGGGGAGACUACCCUAGAGAAAUGAGCACUACCACAGAUCUUCAGAACAAAAGCUCUGACUUGCUGUACAUUUACGCUGUUCAGUUCAUGUUUUUGAGAUUAUUUUCCCAUAUAGAUAUGGUGCAUAUAUCCAAAGCCUAAUGCUGACUAUAGAAAUCUCUGAAACUCCUCUGUUACUUACAUACACUCCAGAGUGGCGCAGCUGUCUAAGGCACUGCAUCUCAGUGCUAGAGGCUUCACUCCAGACCCUGGUUCAAUACAAUUGGCUCAGCGUCGGGUUUGGCCAGGGCAGGCCGUCAUUGUAAAUAAGAAUUUGUUCUUAUCUGACUUGCCUAGUUAAAUAAAGGUUCAAUUAACCUUACUAACUGACAUAAGUGGUUUCAGCUCUUCAGGAAUAAAUUGUGGGCCACUAGUAUUAAGCAUGAGAGAUACUCACCAGCUCAAUACAUUAGUGAUGCAACAGCACAAGAAUAUUAUAAUUAAUUGAUUGCUACUAGCUCCUAUCAGUACAGCAAAAAUGUCAAACAAGUACACAAAUAAUAAAUCAAAUGUCAGAACGAGUCCAGUUAACCCAAAUAACACUUUCAGUAAUCCAAAUGCAAUCUAUUCGUAUGUACUGUUGAAGUCGGAAGUUAACAUACACCUUAAACUGAGUUUAAAUGCAUUUGGUUUUCACAGUUCCUGACAUUUAAUCAGAGUAAAAAUGAUCUUAAGUCAGUUAGGAUCACCACUUUAUUUUAAGAAUGUGAAAUGUUAGAAUAAUAGUUGAGAGUGAUUUAUUUCAGCUUUUAUUUCUUUCAUCACAUUCCCAGUGGGUCAGAAGUUUAUAUACACUCAAUUAGUAUUUGGUAACAUUGCCUUUAAAUUGUUUAACUUGGGUCAAACAUUUCGUGUAAACUUCCACAAGCUUCCCACAAUAAGUUGGGUGAAUUUUGGCCCAUUCCUCCUGACAGAGCUGGUGUAACUGAGUCAGUUUUCUAGGCCUCCUUGCCCGCACAAGCUUUUUCAGUUCUGCCCACAAAUUUUCUAUAGGAUUGAGGUCAGGGCUUUGUGAUGGCCACUCCAAUACCUUGACUUUGUUGGCCUUAAGCCAUUUUGCCACAACUUUGGAAGUAUGCUUGGGGUAAUUGUCCAUUUGGAAGACCCAUUUGCAACCAAGCUUCAACUUCCUGACUGAUGUCUUGAGAUGUUUCUUCAAUAUAUCCACAUAAUUUUCCUACCUCAUAAUGCCAUCUAUUUUGUGAAGUGC